rnacentral:rRNA from 1 species
AUUGAACGCUGGCGGCAGGCCUAACACAUGCAAGUCGAGCGGAUGAAGGGAGCUUGCUCCUGGAUUCAGCGGCGGACGGGUGAGUAAUGCCUAGGAAUCUGCCUGGUAGUGGGGGAUAACGUCCGGAAACGGGCGCUAAUACCGCAUACGUCCUGAGGGAGAAAGUGGGGGAUCUUCGGACCUCACGCUAUCAGAUGAGCCUAGGUCGGAUUAGCUAGUUGGUGGGGUAAAGGCCUACCAAGGCGACGAUCCGUAACUGGUCUGAGAGGAUGAUCAGUCACACUGGAACUGAGACACGGUCCAGACUCCUACGGGAGGCAGCAGUGGGGAAUAUUGGACAGUGGGCGAAAGCCUGAUCCAGCCAUGCCGCGUGUGUGAAGAAGGUCUUCGGAUUGUAAAGCACUUUAAGUUGGGAGGAAGGGCAGUAAGUUAAUACCUUGCUGUUUUGACGUACCAACAGAAUAAGCACCGGCUAACUUCGUG